CACGGAGGGUGCAAGCGUUAGUCGGAAUCACUGGGCGUAAAGCGCGCGUAGGCGGUCUCUUAAGUCAGGUGUGAAAGCCCGGGGCUCAACCCCGGAAGUGCAUUUGAAACUCAGGGACUUGAGUAUGGGAGAGGGAAGUGGAAUUCCUGGUGUAGCGGUGAAAUGCGUAGAUAUCAGGAGGAACACCGGUGGCGAUGGCGACUUCCUGGACCAAUACUGACGCUGAGGCGCGAAGGCGUGGGGAGCAAACAGG
rnacentral:rRNA from 1 species